rnacentral:tRNA from 1 species
ACAUCGGUAGUUCAAUGGUUAGAACAGCCGUUCUUAGAAGCGGGAAAUCUGGGUUCGAAUCCCAGCCGAUGUC